CUGAGCCCUUUAAUGAUUGCCAUCAUUCAGUGGAAGAGAGCGGAGGACAUUAGCUGGACCCAUGCUGGGGACAGAGCCACAGAACCACACACAGGUUUACACACUGAAUGAGGCAGUUCUUUUCGCACAGUUAGGUGUUUUCAAGGAAGAUCGACUCUAGAUACAGCUGACUAAUUUCAGCUAAUUGCAAGCUGUAUGGGUCAGAGCAUGGAGACCCAGCUUCUGCAUAGUCACCACAACAUCCAAGGCUCCCCCACCAUGCAGGACUCCCCCACCCCACUCUGACUUAUCCAGGGCCUAAGACAAUAGGCCCACAAUGGCAGGACCAGGAGACUCCAUUGGUUGGAGACAAUACCUUUUGUUUAAUGACAUUCCUGCACACUGUCUGUCCCUGGCAGUCACCUCACUUGAAGACCAG